UACGGGGGGGGCGAGCGUUGUCCGAAGUUACUGGGCGUAAAGCGCGUGUAGGCGGGUUGUUAAGUCCGCUGUGAAAGCCCGGUGCUCAACGCCGGAGGGUCGGUGGAUACUGGCAGUCUUGAAGUGGCUAGGGGGAAAUGGAAUUACCGGUGUAGCGGUGAAAUGCGUAGAUAUCGGUAGGAACACCAGUGGCGAAGGCGGUUUCCUGGAGCCCACUUGACGCUGAGACGCGAAAGCUAGGGGAGCAAACAGG
rnacentral:rRNA from 1 species